UUGCUCAAAGCAGGUACUAGUUUAUGGGUUAUCUUGUAGUCCAUCGGAAUCGUAAGCAUCAUAUGGCGUCCAGGGUGUAUUUUUAGAGCGUUACAAUAUUCUGAGAGUACCAAUCUUUCUUGCACAUAAAUAGGACUAGAGCGCCCCAUAGAGAUACACUAGGUCUGAUAAAACCUUUAUCUAAGAGGACAUUAAGCUAUUCUUUGAACUCUUUAA
rnacentral:lncRNA from 1 species